GAUGAACGCUGGCGGCGUGCCUAAUACAUGCAAGUCGAGCGAACGGACGAGAAGCUUGCUUCUCUGAUGUUAGCGGCGGACGGGUGAGUAACACGUGGAUAACCUACCUAUAAGACUGGGAUAACUUCGGGAAACCGGAGCUAAUACCGGAUAAUAUUUUGAACCGCAUGGUUCAAAAGUGAAAGACGGUCUUGCUGUCACUUAUAGAUGGAUCCGCGCUGCAUUAGCUAGUUGUUAAGGUAACGGCUUACCAAGGCAACGAUGCAUAGCCGACCUGAGAGGGGGAUCGGCGACACUGGAACGGAGACACGGUCCAGACUCCUAAGGGAGGCAGCAGUAGGGAAUCUUCCGCAAUGGGCGAAAGCCUGACGGAGCAACGCCGCGUGAGUGAUGAAGGUCUUCGGAUCGUAAAACUCUGUUAUUAGGGAAGAACAUAUGUGGAAGUAACUGUGCACAGCUUGACGGUACCUAAUCAGAAAGCCACGGCUAACUACGUG
rnacentral:rRNA from 1 species